AAGGCUGGGACAUCCGGUCUUUUUCCACCACUCCGGCCAAUUCAAACUUCAAAGUCUCUCAAGCAACCGCCGCUGGGCAGGGGCAUGGAAAAUCAACUACACAGGAUCUUGGAGAACUAGAAGCCUUUCCAUCAGGAUUCAUGCCUGGGCAUAGGCACCAAUAUAACCACCAAGGCAAUCCCUGGGUUAAGAAUGUCUCACAGCAAAAGAAGGAAUUCCUCUGCAACUUGCUUUAUUGAAACAUCCAGAAGAAGUAACUCCAGUGAAUCUACAAGAAUUAUAACAUAUAUGGGCAGGUCAAGAUCAUGGAGCCACUUAAU